AAUAAAGUGCCUGAUUAAAGGAUUAUCGUGAUAAGAUAAAUCAAGUACUUAAUACCUUUAUUA
rnacentral:tRNA from 1 species